GGUCUCUGGUGGUCCAGUGUCCUGAACUCGGCUCUCCCACCUCAGAGCCUUAGGCCUGACACCCGGCCAGAGCACCAAGUCACUGUCAGCCACACGGCUUGAUGAAGAAACGCCGCGACACAGUGAUGGCGUGACCGGAAGUCCUCACUCUUUUAAUUGGUGAUGUAGCUGGUUCGUUCAACUAUAGCUUGGGCCAAAAGCUAUGGGUCAGACCAGGAAAAUCUCUGGUCUUCCAGACAUCCACAAAGAUUGGGGAUGGGUGGUAGAUGUAGAUAAAGGAAAAUUCUGACCCUAAAUUGAUGGAAAGUAGUGGGAGGUAACAAAUCUUAAGACAGGGAAUUCUUAACCUGGGCUACAGCAAACAGUAGGAAGUCAUGAGGCAAUUAUCCACUAAUAGAAAAUAAGAACACGAGGUGUAUUCUCCAGGCAAUACUAGUGGUCCACCUAAAAAUUAACAGGAAUUGAAAUAAAGUUCUCCAGCAAGGUGUUUGGAACAAGGUAGACUGUAGAGAGAUUAAGUCACUAAUGCCUGCUCCAGAUGAAAAACCCAGCUGAAGUGCAUUGCAGACAGACCUAUAAGGGAAAAAUUUACAAGGAGGUCAUUCUAAAGGAAGGGUGUUUUUAAAGAUAGCUUUUUGAAAUGAUGGAACAAAGAGGAAAGAGAACCAAAAGAUGAACCACAUAACCCCCUGCCCCCCCCCCAAAAAAAGGGAAGAUCAUUGAGUCGGCUCCAGGGCUAUAAAAGUGAGGAGGAAAAUAGCUACUUCUGGACUUUCUUCAUAUGUCUGAACGUACAGGAAGGCAGGACCUGUUUUCCAUGAUGCUGUAAGGUGGGUUACAUCAUACUGAAAUGACUCAUUUGAAUGUUAUCCCCAAAUUCUGAUGUGAAAAAUAGCUUUUAGGCAGAAGCUUAGAGAAAAGCUUUUGUGAUUCCUUUAGAAAAGAAUUGCCUGUGGAACUUUGCUAUAGCUAGAAGGGAAAAAAAAAACUAUCACGUGAGGAAAUAGUACAUCAAGCUUUCUGGCCCUGUCUACUUAGCUAAGCUUGCAGGGCAGAAGAUUAUCCAAAGUAAGGCACGUUCGCCACUUUUGGCACAUUCAGCAGAAAAUAGUUUGGUUUUUUUCCCCCUGAAUUUGUUCCUAACAUUUAUCUUCGAUUGCCUUAAGGAAAAAUCAUCCCAAGUAUAGAAGUACUUGCUUAGAAAUUAUGGUGAGUGAGUAAGUAGGACGUGCUGAGGAUAAUAAUGGGAAACUGAAAAAAAGUGACUCUAGUAAUUAAAUGGAAAUUUUUUUAAAACACCGUUUAAAAUGUAAAUCUCUUUUCCCAAAGAAAUGUAUUCAGUCCAUUGAAGGAAAUUCUUUUGUAAUCACUCUGAAGAAUGUGGAUUGUGAAGAACCCUGGCCAUGAGAAGGAAUUUGAACUAAGAUCUACUGAAUCAGUCAGGAGGAAAUAGAGCACGGGCUCUAGAUGCGCGGGCUUCAGUAGUUGUGGCACAC